rnacentral:lncRNA from 1 species
AACUUAUUGUAAACACAGUAAUAGAUCCCUUGCAGAAUAGAGGAAAACAAAAUAUAUGGCAUUUUCUUAAGUUAAUUUGAUACUUAGAUAUGUUUCCAGUUACUAUAUUACUAUAAUAGUACAGACAUAAAAAGCAUGAACUUCAGCAGAGCCAUGAUUUCACUCCACAUUUUUACAUUUCAGAGAAACUAUACACCACUGACUGACAUCAGUAAGAAGGAUUUUACAUGGCCUGUUUCUGUGCUCCCAGAUGACAUUUUUGUACUUUUGCAAAGGAAAUAAACCCCGGAGGGAGAAUCUGUGGUGAGGCAAAGGAACUUGAAAUCUGCACGUAAGUGAACAGGGAAGUAAAAGUCAAUAUAAAGGAAUAAUAGAGUCUUGGCAGCACUUGCCAUGGGAAGCAUGUGGAAAACAGAGUGGGAAAGAUUAUGAGAGGCCACGGUGGAUAUACUGACUUUAAGUUGUUUCAGAUGUAAAGAAUGCACACUCAGACAGUUAGAAAUAAUUCCUAUCUUGUGCGUUGCUGAAGUUUUAAGUAGUUAUUUCUUGGUGUGAAAUUUUGGCUUAUACGUAUUCUAUUUUUUUCUGUUAACAUUGGUAGUUAUUAUUUCAGUGUAAUAAAAAUAUUCGUCUUCUAAGUUGUUAAUCUUUA